rnacentral:lncRNA from 1 species
GGGAAGCUCCUGGUAAAUUCCAAUGGAAUGACCAAUCAGUAUGUGUUAUUGAUCCAGAUAAUGACCAAUCAGUAUGUGUUAUUGAUCCAGAUAAUGACCAAUCAGUAUGUGUUAUUGAUUCAGAUAAUGACCAAUCAGUAUGUGUUAUUGAUCCAGAUAAUGACCAAUCAGUAUGUGUUAUUGAUCCAGAUAAUGACCAAUCAGUGUGUGUUAUUGAUCUCUUACUGUCCAGAUAAUGACCAAUCAGUGUGUGUUAUUGAUCUGUCCAGAUAAUGGCACGUUACACCUGUCUGGUGUCCAGAGGGAUGCAGCAGGAGAGUAUCGGUGUACUGCUGAGAACCUGUCGGGGCGAGACCAGCAGAGCACCAUCCUCUCCAUUCAUGCUGGUAGGCACACAACACCAUGUGCUCUGACAACGACAUGCUGCUGUGUAUUUAUUUCACUUAUAAUUCAUCUAAAUGAUCUAAUCUAUUAUUUUAGCGGACGAGCUUCCUCCAGAGGAAGAAAGUGUGACAUUUCCUCCACCCACAAAUAUAACUCAACAGCAUACUACAGGCUUGAACCUAUCAACUUUAACUCAACAGCAUACUACGGGCUUGAACCUAUCAACUAUAACUCAACAGCAUACUACGGGCUUGAACCUAUCAACUAUAACUCAACAGCAUACUACAGGCUUGAACCUAUCAACUAUAACUCAACAGCAUACUACAGGCUUGAACCUAUCAACUAUAACUCAACAGCAUACUACAGGCUUGAACCUAUCGACUAUAACUCAACAGCAUACUACGGGCUUGAAUCUAUCAACUGAUUCGAACACAGGAAGUGGUCAGCAGUAUGACAAUUACACAAAGAAAUCAGGU